UUUCCUCUAGUCUGCAGCAGGGGAAUCUUUCGGUGGGGAAGGGUAUGGCCCAUAGAGAAAGCUAUCAACUCCCAAAUCACCAUCGCCCUGCCCAAUCCUUUCAGUCCUUUUGACCAAUCUGCUAAAAAAAGUGACCCAAAGGGUCUUUAAUGAAAACCAAAUCCUGAUGUGCUGCAGUUUCUCGCUGGAACAAGGACAUUAUGCAUAGUAGAAAGCAAAGCAUCUGUUUCAGUAACCUUAAACCUCUCUGUAGGGUUAAUAGAGGGGCCCAAGCAAAGAGCACAAGAAGCCACAUUGUCUGGGAAACUGGAGAAUUGUGAAUGGGGCCAAUGCCCCAGGGUGACUGCCCAAAGGGAAGGGAGAAAAAAGGGCCAAAGGUUCCCCAAAGCCCCAAAGGACGCAAACCAGGAAGACUUCUAACUGGAGUUGUGCAUUCCAGUUACAGGAUGGUGAUGGUGGGCCAACACACCUACAAAGUGCUUUGGGAUCAGGUUUGCUCCAAACCUGUUAGAAUGCAUGGCUUUUGGUGUCUGGGGACUUCAAAAGUUUUACUGUUUUUGUUCUGGGCAGUAAAAUGAGCAUAAUUGUUUUCAAAGCUGGUUAUGGACGUCCCCUUGGGGGAAAAAUAAUCCAUUUCCAUAACAAGUUACACAAUACGGGGGAAAUUUGUAUUAAAGAAUGCUGGGAUGCCUAUAAAUAAUUUCAGGAGACCAUGAGCGUGCAUUAUGCAUUUCCUUUAAUACGGAAAGUUCCUGUUAAUACUGAAAGAGGCACGGCGUGGUGUUUGUGUUUGUAAUCCCAGUGAGCCUGGAGGCUGAGGUGGGAGGAUCAUUUGAGGCCAGCAGCUUGAGACCAGCCAGGGCAACAUAGCCAGAUCCCAUCUCUUUUUUUAAAGCAUUUAAAAAAUACCAGUUGGGCAUGGUGGCUCACGCCUGUAGUCCCAGCACUUUACAAAAGUGAGUUGGACGGCUUGCUUGAGCCCAGGAGUUCCAGACUAGCCUAGGCAAAAUGGCAAAACCCCAUCUCUACAAAAAAUACAAAAAUUAGCCAGGUGUGGUGGUGCACGCCUGUAGAUCCAGCUAUUCAGGAGGUUGCGGUGGGAGGAUUGCUUGAGCUUGGGAAGUGGAGGGUGCAGUGAGCUGAGAUCGCACCACUGCACUCCAGGCUGGGCAAAAGAGUUAGACCCCAUUUCAAAAACAAAAACAAAUGAAAAACAAAUAAUGAAAGAGGGUGGUGUCACAUAAUUGGGGUAUGGGCCACUUGAGAGCCAGGUGAUGCAGUUCCAAGUCUUCACUGGACUUGACCCUCUAUAGCAGCUUUUAGUGACCCUCCUCCUUCUCCACUUGACCUCAAGGACACCAUACUCACCUGGUUUCUCUCCUGGGCCUCUGGCCUUUCCUCUCAGGCCCUCGCCUUAGUUCCUCCUCCUCUGUCUAACCUCUUUUGUUAAAACGCACGAUCUCUUUUGUUUUCCUUUUCCUUUUUAAAAACUGUUAUGUGGAAAAUUUCAAACACAUACGAAAGUAGACGUAAAAAUAAAAUGAACAUCCAUGUCCCUGGCACUCUGCUUCAAUGAUAGCCAACCCAUAGCCAUCCUUGUUUCAUAUUUGCCUCCACCUCCCACCCAUUUCCCCCCUCCAGCAUUAUUUUGGAGGCAAUCCCAAACAUCACAUCAUUUCUUCUGUAAAUAUGUAAGGACGUAACUUCAAAACAGGGGUUGGAGGCUGGGCGUGAUGGCUCACACCCGUAAUCCCAGCACUUUGGGAGGUCGAGGUGGGACCUCCUUGAAGGUCCUACUUGAAGCCAGGAAUUUGAAACCAGCCUGAGCAACAUAGUAAGACUUUGUUUCCACAAAAA
rnacentral:lncRNA from 1 species